AUUGAACGCUGGCGGCAUGCCUUACACAUGCAAGUCGAGCGGUUGAAGGCCGUUUGCUGCCGGAUUGAGCCGCACAGGUGAGUGAUACACCUAGAAGUCUCCGUGCUUGGGGGGUAACACGUCCGAAGCUGUGCUCUAACCCCACACGCGUCAUGGAUGAGAGCAGGGGAGCUCUACGGCCCUCACGCACUCAGCGGACCCUAGGUCGGAUUAGAUAGGUGGUGGGGUAAACGCAUACCAAGGCGACGAUCCGUAGCUGGUCUGAGAGGAUGAUCAGUCACACUGGAACUGAGACACGGCCCAGACUCCUACGGGAGGCAGCAGUGGGGAAUAUUGGACAAUGGGCGAAAGCCUGAUCCAGCCAUGCCGCGUGUGGGAAGAAGGUCUUCGGAUUGUAAAGUGCUUUUAGUUGGGAGGAAGAGCAGUAAUUUAAUACAUGGCGGUCUUGACGGUACCAAAAGAAUAAGCACCGGCUAACUACGUG
rnacentral:rRNA from 1 species